rnacentral:rRNA from 1 species
UACGUAGGGGGCAAGCGUUGUCCGGAAUCAUUGGGCGUAAAGCGCGUGUAGGCGGCCCAGUAAGUCCGCUCUGAAAGCCCGGGGCUCAACCCCGGGAGGCGGGUGGAUACUGCUGGGCUCGAGUCCGGAAGAGGCGAGUGGAAUUCCAGGUGUAGCGGUGAAAUGCGUAGAUAUCUGGAGGAACACCGGUGGCGAAGGCAGCCUUCUGGGCCAACACUGACGCUCAUGCACGAAAGCGUGGGGAGCAAACAGG